rnacentral:rRNA from 1 species
GUUAGAGUUUCUGGUUGUUUGCGAUCAUAGCUUGUGACUGAGCGAAAGCAUUAAGUAACCCUUCUGGGGAGUACGUCGGCAACGAUGAAACUCAUAGGAAUUGACGGGGGCCCGCACAAGCGGAGGAACAUGUGGUUUAAUUCGAUGAUACGCGAGGAACCUUACCUGGGUUUAAAUGGGGAGUGACAGGCGUUGAAAGAUGCUAUUCCUUCGGGACACUCUUCAAGGUGCUGCAUGGUUGUCGUCAGCUCGUGCCGUGAGGUGUCGGGUUAAGUCCCAUAACGAGCGCAACCCUUGCCGAUAGUUGCCAUCACGUAAAGGUGGGCACUCUAUCUGGACUGCCGGUGUAAACCGUGAGGAAGGUGGGGAUGACGUCAAAUCAGCACGGCCCUUACAUCCAGGGCUACACACGUGUUACAAUGGCCAGUACAGAGGGCCGCUACCCCGCGAGGGGAUGCCAAUCUCGAAAGCUGGUCUCAGUUCGGAUUGAAGUCUGGAACCCGACUUCAUGAAGCCGGAUUCGCUAGUAAUCGCGCAUCAGCCACGGCGCGGUGAAUACGUUCCCGGGCCUUGUACACACCGCCCGUCAAGCCAUGGGAGCCGGGGGUACCUGAAGUAUGUAACCGCAAGGAGCGUACUAGGGUAAAACUGGUGACUGGGGCUAAGUCGUAA